rnacentral:rRNA from 1 species
AUUGAACGCUGGCGGCAUGCCUUACACAUGCAAGUCGAACGGUAACGCGGGGCAACCUGGCGACGAGUGGCGAACGGGUGAGUAAUAUAUCGGAACGUGCCCAGUAGUGGGGGAUAGCCCGGCGAAAGCCGGAUUAAUACCGCAUACGACCUACGGGUGAAAGGCGGGGGAUCGCAAGACCUCGCGCUAUUGGAGCGGCCGAUAUCAGAUUAGGUAGUUGGUGGGGUAAAGGCCUACCAAGCCUACGAUCUGUAGCUGGUCUGAGAGGACGACCAGCCACACUGGGACUGAGACACGG